rnacentral:piRNA from 1 species
UGGCUUGGAUGGAAUGGUCGACCUUAU